rnacentral:rRNA from 1 species
AUGUGGUUCUUGGCAUUGCUGGCUUGCAUAGCAGUAACAACGCUGAUCACCAUUCAUAUGGUGCACAUCCUGCACAAACACAGCCGAAAGAGAGUUUCUUCUCCUCAUCCGCCCGGCCCUGCCGGCCACCCCAUCCUCGGCAACUUGCUCUAUGUCAUCGGCCCGCUCCGCAACAACCCACACACCACACUCGCCUCCCUCGCUCAAACCUAUGGACCCAUCUUGUCCCUCCGCCUUGGUCUGACCCGCACCAUCGUCGUGGUGUCAUCCGCCGCUGCGGCUCACGAGGCCCUUGCCAAGAAUGACACAGCGCUCGCGUCCCGGCUUGUGCCAGACACCGUCCGCGCCAUGUCGUAUGGCACGACGUCCAUGGUCUUCCUUCCAAGCUCCAACCCACUGUGGAAGCAGGACCGUGCCAUCAUGGGCGCCCACUUCUCAUCCAGUCGGGGCUUGGACACGAUCCGGCCCAUCUUGGAAUGCCAUGCAGGGUGUCUCACCGAGUACUUGAGGGCAUGCUCUCGCACCGGCAUGCCGGUCAUAAUCAGGGAGGCCGUGAACCGCACGGUCCUCAAUGUCAUAUCCAACAUCCUCUUCUCUGAGGAUGUGGUGGACUUGCACGCGCCGGGGGCCCAACCUUUCAGGGGACUUGUAGUGCCGGUUCUAGAGGAGUGGUCAAAAUCGAACGUCUCUGACGCCUUCCCAUGGCUCGCACAGAUUGACCACCUCCUCGGCUCGCGCCGCCGCAUCUCCAUACAUCUCGCCAAACUGUUCAACUUCUUUGACCAACAGAUCGUUCAACGCCAGUUAGCAAGAAAUGGCACUAGCACUAAUGGCAGUGAGAAAAACAACGACGUGCUGGACGUUCUCCUCGCGCGACACGCCAUGUCCAAGCUCACUCGGCAAGAAAUCAUCACGUUCCUAACAGAUAUGUUCAUCGCCGCAAGUGACACGAGCACGGUUACUGUGCAGUGGGCUAUGGCGCAGCUACUGCGCCACCCAGAGAAGAUGAAGAACGUGCGUAACGAGCUCGCAGCAUGCCUUGGAGUUACAUCCAGUGACUUUGUCAAGGAGAGCGACCUCGACAACCUUCCCUACCUCCAUGCCGUGGUGAAGGAGACGCUGCGGCUGCACCCAGCAGUACCAUUGAUACCACGGGAGGUGGCUGCCGACGGAGUGUCACUCGGUGGCUUCCCCAUCCCUAUCGGAACAGGGGUCGUGGUCAACUUGUGGGCAAUCGGAAGGGACCCUACGGUAUGGCCUCAACCUAACAAGUUUGUGCCUGAAAGGUUCUUGGCUGCAGGUGCAGGCGAGACCGUGCACUUUCAGGGCAAGGACGGCUCUAUCUAUAGGCCAUUUGGCGCUGGCCGGAGGGUGUGCCCUGGAAUGGACUACGCUCUGCGAUCAGUGCCUCUGCUGCUAGCCUCACUUGUCCACAAAACGGAAUGGAGACUACCUGAUGGCAUGGCACCCGAGGAUAUUGACCUCAAGGACCGCUAUGGCACUGUGCUGAAUCUUGCUACGCCACUACGUGCCGUGCCAGUGUCCACCGUGUGA